rnacentral:lncRNA from 1 species
GGAAAAACAAUUUCACUAAGGAAAUGCGCACUUAACUCAAUUGGGGAAGAAAUAAACUUCAACACAGGAGGAGCAGAAAUCUAUUAUCCACUACCUGUUACUGGGUAAGGAGAUAAUAAAGAUCUGACAGAGAGGGCAUCCGUCAUCGGUUAGGAUGAACAUAUCAAGGAUGACUCGCUGAGAACCACCAGGAGGGAGUAUUCAUUAUCGGUUAUUGGGUAAG